CGAGAUUUCAAAGCUCUAAAUGGCUUUAAGCGGUCAAGUGGACUUUAAAAAAAGUUGUACCCAUAGCCAACGGCAUUCUACUUGUCCUGUGUUUUAGUUUGGGUGCAAAACUAUCGAAAUAUCUCGCAACGCACUGCCUUCGUUGAGUCAGCUGGAAGAGCUAGUAAGCUUUUUGGAAAGCAAACCAUGUUUGAUUAUGAUGGGCCAUGCUCGUACUGCGAAUGCGAGCAUGCAUGCAUGAUCCGAAAACAACAGCCCUAAACAGUGAAGUAGUGGGUGUAUGAAAAUAUUGGAGCAGUGGUGUAAGUACUGGAAGGACAAAAAGGAGCAGUUCAGAGGAAGUCCAGUUCUACUGCAGCUGCGAGCCAACAUGAAGAAUUUGCCAGAACUCGGUGUAAUCAAGUUAAAAAUACAUUCUAUUAUGCAAGGAGAAUGUUUUGGAAUCUGAAUUUAGAAAUAAAUGCAUGUUCAUUAUAAAAUACAAAAUAAUAAAAAGACAUGAUGAAUUAAAA